UACGCGGGGGGCGAGCGUUGUUCGGAAUUAUUGGGCGUAAUGGGUGCGUAGGCGGUUUGGUAAGUCUCGUGUGAAAUCUCCGGGCUCAACUCGGAGCCUGCACGAGAAACUGCCGGGCUUGAGUGUGGGAGAGGUGAGUGGAAUUCCUGGUGUAGCGGUGAAAUGCGUAGAUAUCAGGAGGAACACCUGUGGCGAAAGCGGCUCACUGGACCAUAACUGACGCUGAUGCACGAAAGCUAGGGGAGCAAACAGG
rnacentral:rRNA from 1 species